AUUGAACGCUGGCGGUAUGCUUUACACAUGCAAGUCGAACGGCAGCACGGGGGCAACCCUGGUGGCGAGUGGCGAACGGGUGAGUAAUAUAUCGGAACAUAUCCGGAAUGGGGGAUAGCUCGGCGAAAGCCGGAUUAAUACCGCAUAUGCCCUGAGGGGAAAGGGGGAUCCGCAAGGACCUCUCGCUUUCGGAGUGGCCGAUAUCAGAUUAGCUAGUUGGUGAGGUAAAGGCUCACCAAGGCGACGAUCUGUAGCUGGUCUGAGAGGACGACCAGCCACACUGGAACUGAGACACGGUCCAGACUCCUACGGGAGGCAG
rnacentral:rRNA from 1 species